rnacentral:rRNA from 1 species
UACGGGGGGGGCAAGCGUUGUUCGGAAUUACUGGGCGUAAAGGGUUCGUAGGUGGCCAACUAAGUCAGACGUGAAAUCCCUCAGCUUAACUGGGGAACUGCGUCUGAGACUGGAUGGCUUGAGUGCAGGAGAGGAACGCGGAAUUCCAGGUGUAGCGGUGAAAUGCGUAGAUAUCUGGAGGAACACCGGUGGCGAAAGCGCGAGACUGGGCCGUAACUGACGCUGAGGAACGAAAGCCAGGGGAGCAAAAGGG